GGAGGGGUGGCCGAGCGGUCAAUGGCAGCAGACUGUAAAUCUGCCCUCUACGGAGUUCGAAGGUUCGAAUCCUUCCCCCUCCACCA
rnacentral:tRNA from 3 species